ACAUCCAGAGAAUUUAGCAGAGAUGCUUUAGUGCCUUCGGGAACUCUGAGACAGGUGCUGCAUGGCUGUCGUCAGCUCGUGUUGUGAAAUGUUCGGGUUAAGUCCCGNAACGAGCGCAACCCUUAUCCUUUGUUGCCAGCACGUAAUGGUGGGAAACUCAAAGGAGACUGCCGGUGAUAAACCGGAGGAAGGUGGGGAUGACGUCAAGUCAUCAUGGCCCUUACGAGUAGGGCUACACACGUGCUACAAUGGCGCAUACAAAGAGAAGCGACCUCGCGAGAGCAAGCGGACCUCAUAAAGUGCGUCGUAGUCCGGAUUGGAGUCUGCAACUCGACUCCAUGAAGUCGGAAUCGCUAGUAAUCGUAAAUCAGAAUGUUACGGUGAAUACGUUCCCGGGCCUUGUACACACCGCCCGUCACACCAUGGGAGUGGGUUGCAAAAGAAGUAGAUAGCUUAACCUUCGGGAGGGCGUUUACCACUUUGUGAUUCAUGACUGGGGUGAAGUCGUAACAAGGUAAGCGUAGUGCU
rnacentral:rRNA from 1 species